AUUGAACGCUGGCGGCAGGCCUAACACAUGCAAGUCGAACGAGUGGCGGACGGGUGAGUAAUGUCUGGGAAACUGCCUGCUGGAGGGGGAUAACUACUGGAAACGGUAGCUAAUACCGCAUACCAUCGGAUGUGCCCAGCUGGGAUUAGCUAGUAGGUGGGGUAAAGGCUCACCUAGCCGACGAUCCCUAGCUGGUCUGAGAGGAUGACCAGCAACACGGGAACUGAGACACGUGCCAGACUCCGACGGGAGGCAGCAGUGGUGAAUAUUGCAAAAUGGGCGCAAGCCUGAUGCAGCCAUGCCGAGUGUAUGAAGAAGGCCUUCGGGUUGUAAAGUACUUUCAGCGGUGAGGCGUUACCCGCAGAAGAAGCACCGGCUAACUCCGUGCCAGCAGCCGCGGUAAUAC
rnacentral:rRNA from 1 species